rnacentral:rRNA from 1 species
AAGUUUGAUCAUGGCUCAGGACGAUCGCUGGCGGUGUGCUUCACACAUGCAAGUCGAACGAGGUAGCAAUACCUAGUGGCGGACGGGUGAGUAACGCGUGGGAAUCUGCCUUUAGAUGGGGGAUAACGGGUCGAAAGACUCGCUAAUACCGCAUAUGACGAAAGUUGAAAGGAGUAAUCCGUCUAAAGAUGAGCCCGCGUCCGAUUAGCUAGUUGGUAGAGUAAAAGCCUACCAAGGCGACGAUCGGUAGCUGGUCUGAGAGGAUGAUCAGCCACAAUGGGACUGAGACACGGCCCAUACUCCUACGGGAGGCAGCAGUGGGAAUUUUACGCAAUGGGCGAAAGCCUGACGUAGCGACACCGCGUGAGCGAAGAAGCCCCUUGGGGUGUAAAGCUCUGUCAGCUGGAACGAAAAAAAUGACGGUACCAGCAGAGGAAGCAUCGGCUAACUACGUG